UUAAAGAGAGUUUGAUCCUGGCUCAGGACGAACGCUGGCGGCGUGCCUAAUACAUGCAAGUCGAACGAACCGACGAAAAGCUUGCUUUUCUGACGUGAGUGGCGGACGGGUGAGUAACACGUGGGCAACCUGCCUAUCAGUUGGGGAUAACUCCGGGAAACCGGGGCUAAUACCGAAUAAUAACGAGCGUCGCAUGACGCUGGUUUGAAAGAUGGUUUCGGCUAUCGCUGAUAGAUGGGCCCGCGGUGCAUUAGCUAGUUGGUGGGGUAAUGGCUCACCAAGGCAACGAUGCAUAGCCGACCUGAGAGGGUGAUCGGCCACACUGGGACUGAGACACGGCCCAGACUCCUACGGGAGGCAGCAGUAGGGAAUCUUCCGCAAUGGACGAAAGUCUGACGGAGCAACGCCGCGUGUGUGAAGAAGGUUUUCGGAUCGUAAAGCACUGUUGUUAGAGAAGAACAAGGAUAAGAGUAACUGCUUGUCCCUUGACGGUAUCUAACCAGAAAGCCACGGCUAACUACGUGCCAGCAGCCGCGGUAAUACGUAGGUGGCAAGCGUUGUCCGGAUUUAUUGGGCGUAAAGCGAGCGCAGGCGGUUUCUUAAGUCUGAUGUGAAAGCCCCCGGCUUAACCGGGGAGGGUCAUUGGAAACUGAGAGACUUGAAUGCAGGAGAGGUAAGUGGAAUUCCACGUGUAGCGGUGAAAUGCGUAGAUAUGUGGAGGAACACCAGUGGCGAAGGCGGCUUACUGGCCUGUAAUUGACGCUGAGGCUCGAAAGCGUGGGGAGCAAACAGGAUUAGAUACCCUGGUAGUCCACGCCGUAAACGAUGAGUGCUAAGUGUUAGGGGGUUUCCGCCCCUUAGUGCUGCAGCUAACGCAUUAAGCACUCCGCCUGGGGAGUACGACCGCAAGGUUGAAACUCAAAGGAAUUGACGGGGGCCCGCACAAGUGGUGGAGCAUGUGGUUUAAUUCGAAGCAACGCGAAGAACCUUACCAGGUCUUGACAUCCUUUGACCACUCUGGAGACAGAGCUUUCCCUUCGGGGACAAAGUGACAGGUGGUGCAUGGUUGUCGUCAGCUCGUGUCGUGAGAUGUUGGGUUAAGUCCCGCAACGAGCGCAACCCUUGAUUUUAGUUGCCAGCAUUUAGUUGGGCACUCUAAAGUGACUGCCGGUGCAAGCCGGAGGAAGGUGGGGAUGACGUCAAAUCAUCAUGCCCCUUAUGACCUGGGCUACACACGUGCUACAAUGG
rnacentral:rRNA from 1 species